rnacentral:rRNA from 1 species
GAUGAACGCUGGUGGCGUGCCUAAUACAUGCAAGUCGAGCGAACGGACGAGAAGCUUGCUUCUCUGAUGUUAGCGGCGGACGGGUGAGUAACACGUGGAUAACCUACCUAUAAGACUGGGAUAACUUCGGGAAACCGGAGCUAAUACCGGAUAAUAUUUUGAACCGCAUGGUUCAAAAGUGAAAGACGGUCUUGCUGUCACUUAUAGAUGGAUCCGCGCUGCAUUAGCUAGUUGGUAAGGUAACGGCUUACCAAGGCAACGAUGCAUAGCCGACCUGAGAGGGUGAUCGGCCACACUGGAACUGAGACACGGUCCAGACUCCUACGGGAGGCAGCAGUAGGGAAUCUUCCGCAAUGGGCGAAAGCCUGACGGAGCAACGCCGCGUGAGUGAUGAAGGUCUUCGGAUCGUAAAACUCUGUUAUUAGGGAAGAACAUAUGUGUAAGUAACUGUGCACAUCUUGACGGUACCUAAUCAGAAAGCCACGGCUAACUACGUGCCAGCAGCCGCGGUAAUACGUAGGUGGCAAGCGUUAUCCGGAAUUAUUGGGCGUAAAGCGCGCGUAGGCGGUUUUUUAAGUCUGAUGUGAAAGCCCACGGCUCAACCGUGGAGGGUCAUUGGAAACUGGAAAACUUGAGUGCAGAAGAGGAAAGUGGAAUUCCAUGUGUAGCGGUGAAAUGCGCAGAGAUAUGGAGGAACACCAGUGGCGAAGGCGACUUUCUGGUCUGUAACUGACGCUGAUGUGCGAAAGCGUGGGGAUCAAACAGGAUUAGAUACCCUGGUAGUCCACGCCGUAAACGAUGAGUGCUAAGUGUUAGGGGGUUUCCGCCCCUUAGUGCUGCAGCUAACGCAUUAAGCACUCCGCCUGGGGAGUACGACCGCAAGGUUGAAACUCAAAGGAAUUGACGGGGACCCGCACAAGCGGUGGAGCAUGUGGUUUAAUUCGAAGCAACGCGAAGAACCUUACCAAAUCUUGACAUCCUUUGACAACUCUAGAGAUAGAGCUUUCCCCUUCGGGGGACAAAGUGACAGGUGGUGCAUGGUUGUCGUCAGCUCGUGUCGUGAGAUGUUGGGUUAAGUCCCGCAACGAGCGCAACCCUUAAGCUUAGUUGCCAUCAUUAAGUUGGGCACUCUAAGUUGACUGCCGGUGACAAACCGGAGGAAGGUGGGGAUGACGUCAAAUCAUCAUGCCCCUUAUGAUUUGGGCUACACACGUGCUACAAUGGACAAUACAAAGGGCAGCGAAACCGCGAGGUCAAGCAAAUCCCAUAAAGUUGUUCUCAGUUCGGAUUGUAGUCUGCAACUCGACUACAUGAAGCUGGAAUCGCUAGUAAUCGUAGAUCAGCAUGCUACGGUGAAUACGUUCCCGGGUCU